rnacentral:rRNA from 1 species
UACGUAGGGGGCAAGCGUUGUCCGGAAUUAUUGGGCGUAAAGAGCGUGUAGGCGGUUUGGUAAGUCUGCUGUGAAAGCCCAGGGCUCAACCCUGGAACGCCGGUGGAUACUGCCAGACUAGAGUCCGGAAGAGGCGAGUGGAAUUCCUGGUGUAGCGGUGAAAUGCGCAGAUAUCAGGAGGAACACCAAUAGCGAAGGCAGCUCGCUGGGACGGUACUGACGCUGAGACGCGAAAGCGUGGGGAG